rnacentral:rRNA from 1 species
CCGGCACGGGUGAGUAACACGUAUCCAACCUGCCGUCUACUCUUGGACAGCCUUCUGAAAGGAAGAUUAACACAAGAUGGCAUCAUGAGUCCGCAUGUUCACAUGAUUAAAGGUGUUCCGGUAGACGAUGGGGAUGCGUUCCAUUAGAUAGUAGGCGGGGUAACGGCCCACCUAGUCUUCGAUGGAUAGGGGUUCUGAGAGGAAGGUCCCCCACAUUGGAACUGAGACACGGUCCAA